UGAUAUAUAUCAAAUUAAAGCUCUUUUCGUGCUCUUUAGUUUGAUAUGCAUAUCGAAUAUUUUUUUUAUUAAUCAAACUAACAAAUUUUAGUAAGAAAUAAAAAAGAAAAAAGAAAUAAAAAAAGGGAAAUAGAUAAUAACCGUAAGAUAUAACUUUAUCGUGAAAAUAGGAAUCAUUAGCGUGGAAAGGAAAAAAAACUAUGUAAAUUUGCGUGAACUGCUAUUUGGAAAGAAAAAAAGUGAGUUUGCGUUACAACUGAGCGAAAAAAUAGGAAUUUCUGGUAGAUAAGUAAAGAACUGAAAAUUAAAUUAUGGC
rnacentral:lncRNA from 1 species